CAUCAAACAUUGACAGUUUAGUGUGACAGAGAUGCUACAACAAAAACAAUACUUGUCCUUAACACUAAAUGUAGCAGGUAUCUUCAGUUUUACAUUGCUCCGAAUAUGAUCUAUUGUUUUCAGUUGUUAACUAAAAUACGGAAGCUGUCUUUACCCAAUCCAUUUUCAGAUAUAUGAUGUAAGAUCUAUCAUUGAAUGACAUUAGCUCCAGUUUACACUCCAGACUAGAUGGUGGCGGUGUUGCACACUUUCAGUUUUUUUGAAAAGCGCCAUAAAAAGACGAACAGCAUCAUCAUGAAGCCAGGAAGAAGAAUUAAUGUUCAAAUUCGCCAUUUUUACUCACAUAAUAUAGCCUUAAAAGUAAAAAGACCAUUGAUAAUAGUUAGGAGUUUUGGUAAAUUCAAGCUGGUACCUCCCACUUUGAAUUGGGCAAAAACACACCUGGACAAGAACCAGAUGGAAAUGAAAUGUGGGUCACAAAAGGAGACCGAAGGGACCAAGGCUGCUAACGUGUUGCUAGCUGGUGUCUAAACAAAUGAAGAUGAAAGAAGAAGCCACAGAAAUCAGAUGUUAGGAAACCUAAAGACUUUCCUGUCUCAGAAGAGGCUCUGGCUCCACCAGAUCACCAACCAGCUCUGAGGAUGAACCUCCACAUCGUCUUCAUGGUGGCCCUGUGAUGGACCGGUGACCUGUCCAGGGUGAACCCCGCCUCUCAUCUGAUGGCUGCUGGAGAUGGGCACCACCAGCCCCCCUCACUACCCUGCAAGGAUCAGCGUGUUCAUAUCAUGGAUGGAAAGAUUUUAAGGCAAAGAAGACACCCAGAAAUGUCUUUCCACUCCAGUCAUACGUUCCCAAUCAUCAUCAUUUCUGAUGAUGUCACAUACAUGGCGAGUCCACAUCGUCU